CCUACGGGUGGCAGCAGUGGGGAAUAUUGCGCAAUGGGCGAAAGCCUGACGCAGCGACGCCGCGUGAGGGAUGAAGGUCUUCGGAUCGGAAACCUCUGUCAGCAGGGAAGAACGGUCACUUUGCUAAUCAGCAGUGAAUUGACGGUACCUGCAAAGGAAGCACCGGCCAACUCCGUGCCAGCAGCCGCGGUAAUACGGAGGGUGCGAGCGUUAAUCGGAAUUACUGGGCGUAAAGCGCUCGUAGGCGGUAUGUCAAGUCAAGGGUGAAAUCCCCGCGCUCAACGUGGGAACUGCCUUUGAUACUGGCAAACUAGAGUGUGUGAGAGGAUAGUGGAAUUCCAGGUGUAGGAGUGAAAUCCGUAGAUAUCUGGAGGAACAUCAGUGGCGAAGGCGACUAUCUGGGACAUAACUGACGCUGAGGAGCGAAAGCGUGGGUAGCAAACAGGAUUAGAUACCCUAGUAGUC
rnacentral:rRNA from 1 species